UGGGCAACCUGCCCCUAGCUCUGGGAUAACUCCGGGAAACCGGGGCUAAUACCGGAUACGACCUCGAGCGGCAUCUCUUGAGGUGGAAAGUUUUUCGGCUAGGGAUGGGCCCGCGGCCUAUCAGCUUGUUGGAGAGGUAACGGCCCACCAAGGCGACGACGGGUAGCCGGCCUGAGAGGGCGACCGGCCACACUGGGACUGAGACACGGCCCAGACUCCUACGGGAGGCA
rnacentral:rRNA from 1 species